rnacentral:rRNA from 1 species
GACGAACGCUGGCGGCGUGCUUAACACAUGCAAGUCGAACGGAAAGGCCCUGCUUUUGUGGGGUGCUCGAGUGGCGAACGGGUGAGUAACACGUGAGUAACCUGCCCUUGACUUUGGGAUAACUUCAGGAAACUGGGGCUAAUACCGGAUAGGAGCUCCUGCUGCAUGGUGGGGGUUGGAAAGUUUCGGCGGUUGGGGAUGGACUCGCGGCUUAUCAGCUUGUUGGUGGGGUAGUGGCUUACCAAGGCUUUGACGGGUAGCCGGCCUGAGAGGGUGACCGGCCACAUUGGGACUGAGAUACGGCCCAGACUCCUACGGGAGGCAGCAAUGGGGAAUAUUGCACAAUGGGCGGAAGCCUGAUGCAGCAACGCCGCGUGCGGGAUGACGGCCUUCGGGUUGUAAACCGCUUUCGCCUGUGACGAAGCGUGAGUGACGGUAAUGGGUAAAGAAGCACCGGCUAACUACGU